rnacentral:misc_RNA from 1 species
AGUCCCAUUCGAAGCCCCAAAAGAAGGCCAAACAACAGCCAUAGGAGUAGUCGAAGUAUGAGUCCCAAAAAGGUUCCCCAAAGUACAAGAUUCAGGACCAACAGUAGAAGCCCUGCUAGGAAGUCUGGUGAGCCAAGCCAGGAAAGGUCUUCAAGGAGUCCAUUGGGCAACCUUGCCCUUAAAGCCCCUGAACCUUCUAACUCUGACCACAGAAAGGGUUUAUUGAGAAGCCCGUCUCCAAAUGGCACUCCCAAGCGCAUUAGAAAAGGGCGUGGCUUCACUGAACGUUAUUCCUUUGCACGUCGAUACCGUACUCCUUCUCCGGAGAAAUCACCUCGGAGGUCUUACCGUUAUGGUGGAAGAAAUUUUAAUGAAAGAAACCGUGAUAG